UACGGGGGGAGCAAGCGUUGUUCGGAUUUACUGGGCGUAAAGGGCGCGUAGGCGGUCAGCACAAGUCAGUUGUGAAAUCUCCGAGCUUAACUCGGAAAGGUCAACUGAUACUGUGCGACUAGAGUGCGGAAGGGGCAACUGGAAUUCCGGGUGUAGUGGUGAAAUGCGUAGAGAUCCGGAGGAACACCAGUGGCGAAGGCGACACGCUGGGCCGUACCUGACACUGAUGCGCGACAGCAUGGGGAGCAAACAGG
rnacentral:rRNA from 1 species